UAGGGAAUCUUCCGCAAUGGACGCAAGUCUGACGGAGCAACGCCGCGUGAGUGAAGAAGGAUUUCGGUUCGUAAAACUCUGUUGUUAGAGAAGAACAGCGCAUAGAGUAACUGUUAUGCGUGUGACGGUAUCUAACCAGCAAGCCACGGCUAACUACGUGCCAGCAGCCGCGGUAAUACGUAGGUGGCAAGCGUUGUCCGGAUUUAUUGGGCGUAAAGCGAGCGCAGGCGGUCAAGUAAGUCUGAUGUGAAAGCCCCCGGCUCAACCGGGGAGGGUCAUUGGAAACUGGUUGACUUGAGUGCAGAAGAGGGGAGUGGAAUUCCAUGUGUAGCGGUGAAAUGCGUAGAUAUAUGGAGGAACACCAGUGGCGAAGGCGACUCUCUGGUCUGUAACUGACGCUGAGGUUCGAAAGCGUGGGGAGCAAACAGG
rnacentral:rRNA from 1 species